ACGCAUGAUUAUGACGUGAAGAUGCGCAACGUGAACAAGUUCAUCGAGAACGGCGACAAGGUGAAGAUCACCCUUCGGUUUCGCGGGCGUGAAAUGGCGCACCAGCAUCUCGGCAUGGAUCUGCUGAAGAAGGUGCAGGAUGAUGUCGCCGAAGUCGCCAAGGUCGAAGCGUUCCCGCGGCUUGAAGGCCGCCAGAUGCUGAUGGUGCUGGCACCCAAAUAGGGGCCAGCUGCAAAAGACAGGCGAACCCAACAGGACAGCAAGGGCGCGGGGCCACAACGCCUCCGCGCCCUUUUUGCUGCAGGGCUUGCCGCAGG
rnacentral:misc_RNA from 1 species